UCCUAACUUCUUCAUCUUAACUCGGUUAUUUUUCUGUCCUGCAUGAUUUCAGAAUUCGGUUAUAACUUCACGAUAAAUUUUUCAAUUGACUGACACGCAAUGCGUCUCGACACUAUAUUGAUCAAUUGAACAAAAUAAUCACUCCCAUGAUUUCAUAUGCAAUUUUUUGUCAGGCAAGUUCCUCUAUCUUCUCAUAGUAUGCUUUAAUUUCAGUUGUUUUAUGUAAAAUUUUAGAGAUUUUGUUUUGUAAACGAAAAGUAAUUAAGCAACUUCAAUUCAUGCACAGAAGUGGAGAUUUUUACAAGCAUACAAGUUCUUUCCCUUACUAUAUAUGUAAGCUACAGAUUUUAUUAUUGUUGCAGGCUGUUACCGAUGAUGAUAUAUAUAUAUAUAUAUAUAUAUAUAUAUAUAUAUAUAUAUAUAUAUAUAUAUAUAUAUAUAACAAGGAUCAGGUCCGGGAGUCUGGACCUAAUCGAGAGUCCGGAUCUGAUAAAAAAUGGACCAAAUUUUUUAUUUUUUUUGCUUUUAAAUUUAAAACUAAAAAAAAUAUUUAAUAUUUUAUGAAACUGAAAUUUUUUUCAUAAUACAAUGUUUUGGGCGUGAUUUGGAUACCUAUACCAAAAAAUAUAUGUACAGUCUGCACAGACUGUACAUACAUGUUUUGUUAUAUGUAUCCAAAUCACACCCAAAACACUGUAUUAUGUAAAAAUUCAAGUUCCAUAAUUUUUUAUUUAAUUAUUUUUAGUUGUUUUAAAAAAAAAGCAAAAAAAUAAAUAAAUCCGGAUUUUAGUCUGUUCCGGGAGUUCGGACCUGAUCCGGCCUCUCUAUAUAUAUAUAUNNNNNNNNNNNNNNNNNNNNNNNNNNNNNNNNNNNNNNNNNNNNNNNNNNNNNNNNNNNNNNNNNNNNNNNNNNNNNNNNNNNNNNNNNNNNNNNNNNNNUAUGGAAUCUGGUAAGUUGAUGAUUCAUGAUAGUAAUCUUUUGAGUUGAUAACUUGAUAUGUAUAUCAUAUACUUGCCAGUUCGCUAUAGCGACUAUAGAACAGAAAGUCGUCAUAGCAUAUAUAUAUAUAACACUAUCAGGGAGAUAUCUUGUUUUCUAUGAAUAUUAACUGUAGGCCUUUUUUACACAAGGAAAAGAAAAAGGAGUGGUAGCAAUACAAUGAUAAUAUAUGUAGAUGCAAGAGAUGCUAGUUAUUCCCUCUAUUCUGCCUUAAAUAUUUGACUGUUUUGACUCCUUCCACACCUAAGUUUUUAAAGAAAAUAUUCUCGACUGACACUGAGCUGGCUGCAUCUCUCCUAUAUACUCUUUUGUUAGACAUUCAUAGAAAUUGGUAUUACAAGCGGUUACACGGGUCAUAAUAAACCCCCUGCGAAAAAGAAUAGAUACAGAUGGUUAGAAAACAGCUCCUAUUCGAUGAGUUUUCGGUAGAAAAGGAUAAAGGGUCUAGUACUUACUCAAACAUAAUGAUUGCUUUGUCAAUAGAAGCUUAUGUCAGGACCGCUUCCACUUUAACUGGUUUUAAACUUCUUAUAGCUCUCCGUAUAUGCUCAAAUGCCAAGACAAGGAGGCCAAAGAGGUACAGAAGGAAAAUAUAUAGCUUUUCGACAAUGCCAAAUAUCAAAUUUGUAUUGCUUCCUCCCUCGGGAUUUCUUUUGUAUAAUGAUAUUCUUGUCACUAUCCACCCUACAAAGGAUGAGAGUUUAUUAUAAGCACAUGAUGGGAUUUGUUAAAGAUGAUCUUGAAAACUAAUACAAAAGCCAGUACAAAAGAUGAUGUUUAGAGGAUCUCUUGUUCCAAGUCACUGUAGUUCUCAUCUGGUCUGUUUAAACUUUCACCAUUCUGCUUCUGUUAUCAGAAUCACGAGUUUUAUGAAACAAGGGUUCCUUAAAUCAAAUGCCAUCAACAAGAACAAUACCUAGUAAAUCUCAUUACACGUCCGUUGGUAUGAGGGUAAGGUACGGUAGGGUUUUAUGGUCCACAAGACCAUUCCAUGUUUACUAGUGAGACCAACUGAGCUUUUCAAGUGAAAAACUCACAAAGGGAGAGAACAUGAGCUCAGGCAACUUCAUGCCAUAGCCUUUAGGAAAUCAGGGUUUUAGUAGGUGAUAUUGGUGGACCCACCUACUAACAUAUGAACAUUCUAAAAAGGAACCAAUGCGGAAAAAACACGUUCAUAUUCAGUUUGUGAUUCUUACCUGGGCUGGGCUGGGGCAAAUUAGUCCAUUCGAGUGGGUCUAUCUCACUUUCUGAUGCCCUGAUCAACUCAAGAAGAGCUUCAUUGACCUGAGCAAUAAAAAGUUAAUUCUACUGCAAAUUUGGAUUUUUAAAAUAAGUUCUAUGACAAUCUUUCUAUUACGAAAGAAAAAAAAAUCAAUAACUAUUUGUCUUAUUGCUGAAUGACGCAUAUUUUUUCUUCUUUUUUAGUAAAUCCUCAAGAAUCCCAUCUACUGAUACCCGAUCUUUAUACUCACAUAAUUCUAGAAUACAAGGUUCCAACAAUGCCAAUAAAUGUAUAGCUACUUGUAUAAAUUAAUCACAAACAGCGUAUUUACCUCUGCAGUCCUCUCAUGACUCACAAGAUGCCCACCAUGAAGUUCUACCAUUCUAGCAAAAGGGUACAGUCUCUCUGCAAGUCUCCUUGCAUGGCGUAACUGAGCAAUAACAUCAUCCCUAGACGUCCAAAAGACUCGUCUCAGUUAUCUAAGCAGAUAUGGUUAGGUGAAAAGAAUGAAUACUAAGUCUUUGAGAUUAGAAUUAUACCUGCCAUGAAUGACUGAUAUUAGAAAUUUAGAAGAGUGGAUCAACUCAAGUUCCAUUCGAGACAUUUUAUGUGUCCAACAUGCAUUGAUCUGACCAUCAAAACCAUAAUUUGACUGCAUACCAGUAGCUGAUAUGCCCUUAACAUAUUCCUGCAAAAGUGGUGAGUGAACUUAUGAUAAGGAUAUCUUGCUCCUGAACAGGUGAUAGCAACCUUGUAACGUCAUUAUUUUGAAAGCUCUAAAUGAUAGUGUCCUCUACGUGAAGAAAAAAUAAAUGCCACUCUUUGUGAAAUUUAGCAGUUUAAACUGCUAACAAUCAUAUCUCUAGUAAGAGUGCAAAACUUCCACGAUUGAAGGAGGUGCUCAUCCCUCGAUCCCCACCAGUCAGGAAGGACUGUUUCAGUUUGAAGGUUUCGCAGCUAAAUCAGAGUUGACGCUAAUAUAUAGCUAUUAUGGCCACUUCAAAUGAAAGGAGAAAAUACCGAGAAAUUGUUUGUAGUGAUUUAUCGUUCAAUGAAUGACUAAAAAUGAUCCCACUGCUAAAGUGGGCUUUACUCAUCCCACUGCAUUAUAGAUAUCCUUUCAACACAACAUAUAUCAUCAUAGGAUCUUGGAGACCCAGAAAAGCACAAUAGCCAGCACUUCUCAAUAAAUGGAUUUGAAGAGUGCAUAACCGCAUCUCACCUAAUUGCUAUGACUUUCAAGAUGACAAUCUUCAUAAAUCGUAGCACAGAACUGGUAUGAGUGAUAAAGGUGACACUACCAAACUAACCAAUCCAUUUGUUCACGUUAGAUCUUUCACAUGAAGAUUGCAAGCAAGAUACUCAUAAUUUGGGACCAAGCAGGCUAUUGUCUCCAGAUUUGUUGUAGCAUACUGCUACACCAUAGAAUUAAUUGGAAAAUCGAUGCUAUCACUCAAAAAUGUUUGUUAGAAUUACUAGCAAGUCAAGAUUAGUAAAGCACACAAAUUGUGUAAUGGCACAGUGGUGGUUAGCCACUAAAUCCUUGAACUCCCUUUAUUUUCAGUUCUACUUUAAUUCUCCAGGAAAAUAUUUUGUACCUUAAUGCUCAAUUUUAAUAAAGAGCUAAAACAGAUGACGGGAAGUGAAGGUUACCAACAAACAAUACAAAUAGUUAUUAUUAUGGGA
rnacentral:lncRNA from 1 species